rnacentral:rRNA from 1 species
GACGAACGCUGGCGGCGUGCUUAACACAUGCAAGUCGAACGGAAAGGCCCCUUUGGGGGUACUCGAGUGGCGAACGGGUGAGUAACACGUGAGUAACCUGCCCUUGACUUCGGGAUAACUUCAGGAAAAUGGGGCUAAUACCGGAUAGGAAUCCUUGCUGCAUGUGGGGGUUGGAAAGCUUGGGCGGUUUUGGAUGGACUCGCGGCUUAUCCGCUGGUUGGUGGGGUAGUGGCUUACCAAGGCUUUGACGGGUAGCCGGCCUGAGAGGGCGACCGACCACAUGGGGACUGGGAUACGGCCCAGACUCCUACGGGAGGCAGCAGGGGGGAAUAGUGCACAAUGGGCGAAAGCCGGAUGCAGCAACGCCGCGUGCGGGAUGACUGCCUUCGGGUUGAAAGCCGCAUUCAGCAGGGGCGAAGCUUGUGGUGACGGUACCUGCAGAAGAAGCACCGGCUAACUACGUG